AAAGUCCCCUUCGGGGGGCGAGUAGAGUGGCGCACGGGUGAGUAACACGUAGGUAAUCUACCUUUGGAUUGGGAAUAACAACCGGAAACGGUUGCUAAUACCGAAUAAUGCAGCGGCACCUAGUGGUGACAGUUGUUAAAGCGGGGGAUCGCAAGACCUCGCGUCUGAAGAGGAGCCUGCGGCAGAUUAGCUAGUUGGUAAGGUAACGGCUUACCAAGGCGAUGAUCUGUAGCCGGCCUGAGAGGGCGGUCGGCCACACUGACACUGACAUACGGGUCAGACUCCUACGGGAGGCAGCAGUCGGGAAUUUUGGGCAAUGGGCGAAAGCCUGACCCAGCAACGCCGCGUGAAGGAUGAAAUCCUUCGGGAUGUAAACUUCGCAAGAACGGGAAGAAUAAGUAAGAGUUAAUAUCUCUUAUGAUGACGGUACUGUUUGUAAGCUCCGGCUAACUCCGUGCCAGCAGCCGCGGUAAUACGGGGGGGAGCAAGCGUUGUUCGGAUUUACUGGGCGUAAAGGGCGCGUAGGCGGCCACCGCAAGUCGACUGUGAAAUCUCCGGGCUUAACCCGGAAAGGUCAGCCGAUACUGCGGGGCUAGAGUGCAGAAGGGGCAACUGGAAUUCUCGGUGUAGCGGUGAAAUGCGUAGAUAUCGAGAGGAACACCUGCGGCGAAGGCGGGUUGCUGGGCUGACACUGACGCUGAUGCGCGAAAGCUAGGGGAGCGAACGGGAUUAGAUACCCCGGUAGUCCUAGCCUUAAACGAUGAAUGCUUGGUGUCUGGGGUUUUAUAGUCCCCGGGUGCCGUCGCUAACGCUUUAAGCA
rnacentral:rRNA from 1 species